GGAACUGAAUUACAUGUUACAAAAUCUGGACGUGCAACUGGAUUUGUAACAAAACCUGGUGUUCUUGUUGGACAAUAUAAAAGGGAUGCUCUUAUUAAAGAAUUUGGAACAAAUGUACCUCAUGUAGGCCUUGGAGAUAGAGAGACUGAUCGCGAUUUCAUCUCCAUAUGCAAGGAGGGUUACAUGGUUCCAAGAUCAAAAAUAGAACCUUUACCAAGAAAUAAACUUCUAAGUCCAGUAAUUUUUCAUGAAGGUCGAUUUGUACAAAGACCUACACCAAUUAUGGCACUUUUAACAUUUUUAUGGAUGCCAAUAGGAAUAAUUCUAUCAAUUCUUAGAGUAUAUCUUAAUAUUCCUUUGCCAGAAAAAAUUGUUAGAUAUAAUUAUAUUAUCCUUGGUAUUAAACUUAUUGUAAAAGGUACACCCCCACCACCCCCUAAAAAUGGCCAACGUGGUGUACUUUUUGUGUGCAACCAUAGAACUAUACUAGACCCCGUUGUUACUGCUGUUGCACUAGGUAGAAAAAUAAGUUGUGUUACCUAUAGUAUUAGUAAAUUUUCUGAGAUGAUAUCGCCGAUUAAAGCGGUCGCGUUAUCUCGAGAGAGGGAGAAAGAUGCAGCACAUAUCAAACAAUUACUUGAAGAAGGUGAUUUGGUUAUAUGUCCCGAAGGUACAACAUGUAGGGAACCGUUUUUAUUGAGAUUUAGCGCACUUUUUGCCGAAUUGACUGAUAGGAUUGUACCUGUGGCAAUCAACACUAAGCAAAGUGUGUUUAAUGGGACAACUGUUAGAGGGUACAAAUUAUUGGAUCCUUAUUUUGUUUUCAUGAAUCCAGACCACAAUCUCAACCUCAUUGGACAUGCAUGGAUGCUACAUAGGGAAGGAAGAUCAUCGGAGAUAAUCGAUCCUAACCUGGUUGAAUCAUGUCAUACAUCAGAAUUGCAACGAUCGAUACACGUGGGAUUGUUAUGUGUUCAACAAAGUCCAGAGGACAGGCCAAACAUGUCUUCUGUAGUUUUGAUGUUGACAAAUGAAGGCAUUUUACCACAACCAAAACCACCAGGUUUUUUCACAGAAAGGAACAUAGAUGAUGCCACUGGAUAUUCUUGGAGUGACCAAACACCUUGUUCUGUCAACGAUGUAACCGUCACUUUGUUGGACGCUCGAUAGCACGUACAAAGAAUUUUGUGCAAGCAGUAUCGACCUAUUGUCACAGUUUUACUUCCUUGUGAAAUGCUCAUAGCUUUUACUUUACACGAUAUAGACAAUAGCGUACAUAGGAUUUUGUGCAAGUAAUACUGACCUAUUUGUCACAGUUUUACUUCCUUAUAAAUUGCUCAUAACUUUU
rnacentral:misc_RNA from 1 species